GAUGAACGCUGGCGGCGUGCCUAAUACAUGCAAGUCGAGCGAACGGACGAGAAGCUUGCUUCUCUGAUGUUAGCGGCGGACGGGUGAGUAACACGUGGAUAACCUACCUAUAAGACUGGGAUAACUUCGGGAAACCGGAGCUAAUACCGGAUAAUAUUUUGAACCGCAUGGUUCAAAAGUGAAAGACGGUCUUGCUGUCACUUAUAGAUGGAUCCGCGCUGCAUUAGCUAGUUGGUAAGGUAACGGCUUACCAAGGCAACGAUGCAUAGCCGACCUGAGAGGGUGAUCGGCCACCCUGGAACUGAGACACGGUCCAGACUCCUACGGGAGGCAGCAGUAGGGAAUCUUCCGCAAAGGGCGAAAGCCUGACGGAGCAACGCCGCGUGAGUGAUGAAGGUCUUCGGAUCGUAAAACUCUGUUAUUAGGGAAGAACAUAUGUGUAAGUAACUGUGCACAUCUUGACGGUACCUGAUCAGAAAGCCACGGCUAACUACGUG
rnacentral:rRNA from 1 species